GUAGGUGGCAAGCGUUGUCCGGAAUUAUUGGGCGUAAAGCGCGCGCAGGCGGUUCUUUAAGUCUGAUGUGAAAGCCCACGGCUCAACCGUGGAGGGUCAUUGGAAACUGGAGAACUUGAGUACAGAAGAGGAAAGCGGAAUUCCACGUGUAGCGGUGAAAUGCGUAGAGAUGUGGAGGAACACCAGUGGCGAAGGCGGCUUUCUGGUCUGUAACUGACGCUGAGGCGCGAAAGCGUGGGGAGCAAACAGGAUUAGAUACCCUGGUAGUCCACGCCGUAAACGAUGAGUGCUAAGUGUUAGGGGGUUUCCGCCCCCCUUAGUGCUGCGGCUAACGCAUUAAGCACUCCGCCUGGGGAUACGGCCGCAAGGCUG
rnacentral:rRNA from 1 species